rnacentral:rRNA from 1 species
AACGAACGCUGGCGGCAUGCCUAACACAUGCAAGUCGAACGAGACCUUCGGGUCGAGUGGCGCACGGGUGCGUAACGCGUGGGAACCUGCCCUUAGGUUCGGAAUAACUCCCCGAAAGGGGUGCUAAUACCGGAUAAUGUCUUCGGACCAAAGAUUUAUCGCCUUUGGAUGGGCCCGCGUUGGAUUAGCUAGUUGGAAGGGUAAAAGCCUACCAAGGCGACGAUCCAUAGCUGGUCUGAGAGGAUGAUCAGCCACACUGGGACUGAGACACGGCCCAGACUCCUACGCGAGGCAGCAGUGGGGAAUAUUGGACAAUGGACGAAAGCCUGAUCCAGCAAUGCCGCUUGAGUGAUGAAGGCCUUAGGGUUGUAAAGCUCUUUUACCCGGGAUGAUAAUGACCGUACCGGGAGAAUAAGCUCCGGCUAACUCCGUG